rnacentral:rRNA from 1 species
UACGGGGGGGGCAAGCGUUGUUCGGAAUUACUGGGCGUAAAGGGCUCGUAGGUGGCCAACUAAGUCAGACGUGAAAUCCCCCGGCUUAACCGGGGAACUGCGUCUGAUACUGGAUGGCUUGAGUUCGGGAGAGGGAUGCGGAAUUCCAGGUGUAGCGGUGAAAUGCGUAGAUAUCAAGAGGAACACCUGCGGCGAAGGCGGGUUGCUGGGACGGUACUGGACGCUGAGACGCGAAAGCGUGGGGAGCAAACAGG